rnacentral:rRNA from 1 species
AACGAACGCUGGCGGCAGGCCUAACACAUGCAAGUCGAGCGCCCCGCAAGGGGAGCGGCAGACGGGUGAGUAACGCGUGGGAAUCUACCUAGUGGUACGGAAUAGCCCCGGGAAACUUGGAGUAAUACCGUAUACGCCCGAAAGGGGAAAGAUUUAUCGCCAUUAGAUGAGCCCGCGUUGGAUUAGCUAGUUGGUGGGGUAACGGCCCACCAAGGCGACGAUCCAUAGCUGGUCUGAGAGGAUGAUCAGCCACACUGGGACUGAGACACGGCCCAGACUCCUACGGGAGGCAGCAGUGGGGAAUAUUGGACAAUGGGCGCAAGCCUGAUCCAGCCAUGCCGCGUGAGUGACGAAGGUCUUCGGAUUGUAAAGCUCUUUUGGCGGGGACGAUAAUGACGGUACCCGCAGAAUAAGCCCCGGCUAACUUCGUGCCAGCCGCCGCCAUAACAC